GAUGAACGCUAGCUACAGGCUUAACACAUGCAAGUCGAGGGGAAACGCUGAGAGAGCUUGCUCUCUUAGGCGUCGACCGGCGCACGGGUGAGUAACGCGUAUCCAACCUACCCAUUACAGGGGGAUAACCUUGCGAAAGUAAGACUAAUACCCCAUGGCAUUUUAUGGUGGCAUCAUUAUAGGAUUAAAGAUUUAUUGGUAAUGGAUGGGGAUGCGUCUGAUUAGCUUGUUGGCGGGGUAACGGCCCACCAAGGCAACGAUCAGUAGGGGUUCUGAGAGGAAGGUCCCCCACAUUGGAACUGAGACACGGUCCAAACUCCUACGGGAGGCAGCAGUGAGGAAUAUUGGUCAAUGGGCGAGAGCUUGAACCAGCCAAGUAGCGUGCAGGAUGACGGCCCUAUGGGUUGUAAACUGCUUUUAUAGGGGAAUAAAGUGAGCUACGUGUAGUUUAUUGCAUGUACCCGAUGAAUAAGGACCGGCUAAUUCCGUG
rnacentral:rRNA from 1 species